AUUGAACGCUGGCGGCAGGCCUAACACAUGCAAGUCGAGCGAGCGUCGGACGGGUGAGUAAUGUAUCGGGACUCCCCGAUAGAGGGGGGUAACUACUGUAAACGGUAUCUAAUACCGCAUAUUACCUGAUAACCCAUAUGUGAUUAUCUAGUAGGUGGGGUAAUGGCUCACCUAGGCGACGAUCCCUAGCUGGUCUGAGAGGAUGAUCAGCCACACUGGGACUGAGACACGGCCCAGACUCCUACGGAGGCAGCAGUGGGGAAUAUUGCACAAUGGGCGCAAGCCUGAUGCAGCCAUGCCGCGUGUAUGAAGAAGGCCUUAGGGUUGUAAAGUACUUUCAGUCGGGAGGCGUUACCGACAGAAGAAGCACCGGCUAACUCCGUGCCAGCAGCCGCGGUAAUUC
rnacentral:rRNA from 1 species